rnacentral:rRNA from 1 species
AGAGUUUGAUCAUGGCUCAGGAUGAACGCUAGCUACAGGCUUAACACAUGCAAGUCGAGGGGAAACGACAUCGAAAGCUUGCUUUUGAUGGGCGUCGACCGGCGUACGGGUGAGUAACGCGUAUCCAACCUGCCCACCACUUGGGGAUAACCUUGCGAAAGUAAGACUAUUACCCAAUGACGUCUCUAGAAGACAUCUGAAAGAGAUUAAAGAUUUAUCGGUGAUGGAUGGGGAUGCGUCUGAUUAGCUUGUUGGCGGGGUAACGGGCCCACCAAGGCGACGAUCAGUAGGGGUUCUGAGAGGAAGGCCCCCCACCAUUGGAACUGAGACACGGUCCAAACUCCUACGGGAGGCAGCA